ACAAUGGAGAGUUUGAUCCUGGCUCAGGAUGAACGCUAGCGGCAGGCUUAAUACAUGCAAGUCGAGGGGCAGCGCAGUGUAGCAAUACAUGGGCGGCGACCGGCAAACGGGUGCGGAACACGUACACAACCUUCCUUUAAGCGGGGAAUAGCCCGGGGAAACCCGGAUUAAUACCCCAUAGUACGUCGGAGAGGCAUCUCUCUGAUUUUAAAGAUUUAUCACUUAAAGAUGGGUGUGCGGCUGAUUAGGUAGUUGGCGGGGUAACGGCCCACCAAGCCUACGAUCAGUAACUGGUGUGAGAGCACGACCAGUCACACGGGCACUGAGACACGGGCCCGACUCCUACGGGAGGCAGCAGUAAGGAAUAUUGGUCAAUGGA
rnacentral:rRNA from 1 species